UGUAUCAUUAGCCAAUCACCAA
rnacentral:siRNA from 1 species